rnacentral:lncRNA from 1 species
GAGAUUCUGGUGAGUUAGAGUUCCUGGGAGUCACGCUGCCUCUGAGACCCUGAAAUCCUGGUGUGAUCAAGCUCCUGGGAUCCUAUAAAUUUGAAAAUUGUUUUUUUAUAUCUUUGAAGAAUUGUGUUGGGAUUUGAUGGGGAUUGUAUGGAACAAGAGAAGGCCUUUCAACAGUUCCAGGCUGCUGUGCAGGCUGCUCUACCACUUGGACCAUAUGACCCAGAAGACCCGAUAGUACUUGAGCUGUCUGUGGCUGAUAGAGAUGCUGUUUGGAAACUCUGGUAAGCCCCUGUAGGUGAAUCACAGAAAAGACCUUUGGGAUUUUGGAGCAAAGCUCUACCAUCAUCUGCAGAAAACUAUUCUGCCUUUGAAAAGCAGUUCUUGGCCUGCUAUUGGGCCUUAGUGGAAACUGAACGUUUGACAAUAGGACACCAAGUUACUAUGCAACCCAUCAUGAGCUGAGUACUAUCAGAUCCUGCAAGUCAUAAAGUGGGACACGCACAGCAGCAGUCUAUUAUCAAAUGGAAGUGAUAUAUACGUGAUCAGGCCAGAGCAGGUCCUGAAGACACAGGCAAGUUACAUGAAGAAGUUGCUCAAAUGCCUAUGGUUUCUAUUCCUGUUAUAAUGCCAUCUUCUGCCAAGCAUGUGCCUAUAGCCUCAUGGGGUGUUCCCUAUGAUCGGCUGACCGAAGAGGAGAAGACUAGGGCCUGGUUUACUGAUGGCUCUGCACGUUAUGCAGGCACUACCCAGAAGUGGGCAGCUGCAGCAUUACAACCUCUUUCUGGGACAACCAUGAAAGACACAACUGAAGGGAAAUCUUCACAGUGGGCAGAAUUUCAGGCAGUACACAUGGUAUUAGUUUGUUUGUAAGAAGAAAUGACCAGAUGUACGAUUAUUCACUGACUCAUGGGCUGUAGCCAAUGGAUUGGCUGGAUGGUCAGGGACUUGGAAAGCUCACAAUUGGAAAAUUGGUGAGAAGACAUCUGGGGAAGAAGUAUGUGGAUAGAUAUCUCCAAAUGGGCAAAGGAUGUGAAGAUAUUUGUGUCCCAUGUAAAUGCUCACCAAAAGGUGACUUCAGCUGAGGAGUAGCUCAAUAAUCAAGUAGAUAAGAUGACCUGUUCUUUGGACAGUCAGCCUCUCUUCCCAGCCAUCUCUGUCAUUGCUCAAUGGGUACAUGAACAAAGUGGGUUAUGCUUGGGCUCAGCAACAUGGACUUCCACUCACCAAGGAUGACCUGGAUACAGUUGCUGCUGAAUGCCAGAUCUGCCAACAGCAGAAACCAACAGUGAGCCACAGAUAUGGCACCAUUCCUCCAGGUGACCAGCCAGCAACCUGGUGGCAAGUUGUCUACAUUGGACCACUUCCUUCGUGGAAAGGAUAGAGUUUUGAUCUUACUGGAGCAGAUACUUAUUCUGGUUAUGGAUUUGCCUUUCCUGCACGUAAUGCCUCUGCUAAAACCACCAUCCACGGACAGACAGAAUGCCUUAUCUAUCUUCAUGGUAUUCCACACAGUAUUGCUUCUGACCAAGGAACUCAUUUCACAGCCAAAGAAGUAUGACAGUCGGCCAUGAUCAUGGAAUUCACUGGUCCUACCAUGUUCCCCAUCAUCAAAUUUGAUUAUUCGAUACUUUAUGGCUACCAUCCACAUAUAAGAGAAUCAAUACAAUGCAUGUAUUU